GCAGAGGUCAUAAACACUGCUCAUCACCAGUGAUCACACAAAUCAACACGGAUGUUGAUAUUUGGAAGUACUGCUACCUCAUGACAAUAUGCUGCUGGUUCAUGUCUCUGUGUGACGGGGAAAGAUGGGCAGCAUCAUGGAAAAUGAGCAGGGGACAAAAUGCACAAAGAGCAAAGAAUUUUAUGGGCUGAAGAUUGCUGACCUGUUGCCCCACCUGGGGCAGAAGAGAGACCCCUCAGGGCAGCGGGGCCUCUCGCAGCUCCCCGUCCUCCCCUGUCCACCGUCUGUUUCCAAAGCAGCUGAUCCACCACCAGCCAAGGGAAGGGGUGCCCCUCUUGCCCCCCUGCCAGACAGCCUCCAGAGACUAGCAGAGCGUCGGUCUAAGCAGCACUACCACCAGACCAGCCCCAGCAGAGGCUCCAGAGGAGGCCAGACCUCGGACCUGAAGCAGAGAGCAGGGGCCUUUUCUAAGGCUCCCGCAGAAUUUGUCUUCCUGUCCUACAUUGCAGCAGGUCGACGGGGCUUGCAGCGCUCAGAGUCGCCAUCCUCUAUCAGGGCGCUGUUCCAGCAGGGAGUGCUGUCCUCACAGAUAUUAGGGUUGCGGGCGUGCAGCCCUGGCAGGAAGCCCAGCCUGUGGCUAGCACUGAAAGAGCCACGUGCAAACAGUGGCACGUGUGAGCAAUACUUUGAGGAUCUGGGGGACCUGGAGAGGAGGCUGUACCGAGGCGCCCAGCAGCGCUCCGACAGCGUCCUGAGGCCCCCACAGGAGGACGGCAUCCAGCGCAGAGCCCUCCGCAACACCUGCCUCUGCGACACGUCCAUGAGCUGCUCGCCACCACUGGUCUGCAGGAACCAGAUCUACUACACCUCCUUCUCCAAAUGAAUGACCUCACCUCCUUCUCCAAAUGAAUGACCUCACCUCCUUCUCCAAAUGAAUGACCUCACCUCCUUCUCCAAAUGAAUGACCUCACCUCCUUCUCCAAAUGAAUGAAUGCACCUCCUUCUCCAAAUGAAUGAC
ensembl:lncRNA